CGCUGUGGGGGCAGUGGCUGUGGAGAGCAGCGCUGCCUGCCUCCUGGCUUCAUCUGCAAGUUUCCCUCGCUGCAGAAGUCAGGCAUGCCUACUGAUGGAGCUCCUACUUCUGCCCCAAGCCCUGGGCUUCCUCUUUCUGAGUUGCUCAUGGGGUUCAGUCAGGGCUCCGCGUGCUGCCUGUACUCAGGUGGCAUUUCCCGUCCCCCGGGCUGAGUUGUAGCAUGCAAUUGCAUACUUGCCCAAGCAUUACAGGAGCUGUGGCUGCAGGACAGGGAGGGCCACAUGGACAUGACAGACCACUCAGGUGGCCGGCUGCUCCUGGGAGUAGCAGGAGGGCCCCAGCAGGAAGUGCUUUUCAAGUGGUGAGCUUGGUGGCUGUGGCCGAGACAUGCACCUUCCCGUCAUUGUUCCUCCCAGUGUCAUUCUUCCUCUGAGAAGCUGUGAACUUGAGGCUUUGCCCCUGGGGUUUGAGGCUCCCAUGAGGUCCCCUCAGAGGAAGGUGCCUUCACUGGGCAGAGCCUGGUGGACCUGCACCAGCCCCAUGAGGCUGAGCGGAGAGUGCAGGGUGGGGCCCGCCUGAGGGUAAGCACAGCAGCACCCCUCAGGGCUGCGCUUUCCAGAGCUGAGAGGGAGGGCAGAGCUGGGGUCUUGGGGUGGAGGUGGGGUGGGGAUGCAGGUGCCGCCUCUUGUACUGACUUGCACCAGAGGCAGUUUGGCUCCCAGCUGCCUGGGAACACGUGCGGAGUUUGUCAGAAGCAGGAAGACUUGGUGUGGCGGGAACCAAAUCACAGACACACACUCUCCCAGCAAAGCCCUGUUUGAUUCACCCGUGUGUCCUCAGCAGACACGACUGUGUGUUGGGGGUUGGGGGGUGGGCGAGGUGACUCAGCCGCGGACGGCAUUAGAAUGCUUAGCACAUUGAAGGCAGACUGUCUGUUUCUGGGUGCCAUCUGUGGCAUGUUUGGGUUUGGAAGGACAGCUUGCUUGCUGAUGAACACUUCCACAGUCUUUUGAGCUAAGUAGUUUUUGUAAAUUACUGUCUAGACCAUUCUGCAUUAAAAAAAAAAAAAAAACCCGACAA
ensembl:lncRNA novel transcript, sense intronic MED26